rnacentral:lncRNA from 1 species
GGAAGAUCCAGGGCCUUACAGGUCAUCAGAUCACUGCACAGUCUACUGGUCUCUAGGAAGUUUCUCUUUUUGUCAGACCCAGAGUAUGCAGAAAAUCACUCUGCUGAUGGCAAUGAAUAACUGAAUAGCUGUCUCCUCUAUGAAGCCAAGGAUAAACCUAUGAAAGAGGAUAUGUUGAACCUUUCUGUCCUCAGGAGGAGCAGCUGCUCCCCAGGAAG